AAUUAGAACUUGAUUCGGGUACGCGAGGGUAGGUUAAGACAUCGUUCGGACGAAAUCCGAACUUCCUUCCUUCUCCAACACAUCGCUGGAUAAGUUAACGGUGCAUUUGCGGUAAGAGAGAAAGAGACUGAGGAGAGGCGAUUGGUUAGUUCCUUCUCGUUCUCUGUCGGCCGCGAAGUGUUUUCCGUCAUGGUGGUUUCGAGGCUUUUGAUAGCUUCGAUUGCGAUCUACCUCCUGUUCAUCGGAGUAGGGGCAGACGCAACGCCGGAAGAGGAGCUUGCCGUCGUUGAGCACGACGCCUCGGAUUCAGCGCUGAAACUGGAGUUGGAGCAGCUUAGAUCCAAGAUCUUGGCCCUAGAAUCUAAUAUUGCGGAUACAACACGUGAUUUGAAGAGUAAAAAUGAGACCAUUGCAAACUUAGGAAAGACCAUCGAAGAGAAAUCGGCAACAAUUCAGUUACUACAAAGUGAGAUAGAAACAGUGCAGAAGAAGGGAGCUGGAGAUGCACAGGAGCUUGUUAAAAAAGCUCAUGCUCGAGCUGGUGAACUUGAAAAGCAGGUGGAGAAACUCACAAAUGAAAUCGAGCUGCAGAACAAAAGAAGAGAUGAUUUGGAUUCUCUAGCUCGUGAAGCUGAAAAGAAAGUGCAAGAACUUAAUUUGAAAUUGGAAAAACUCCAGAAGGCAAAUGAGGAGCAAAAGCUUAGGAUACGCAAAACUGAACAUGCUCUUCAAGUGGCAGAGGAAGAGCUGAUGAAGGCACAACUAGAAGUAACAACUAAGUCGAAGGUGUUGUCACAGGUUCAUGGAGCAUGGUUGCCACCUUGGCUUGCCACUCAUACUGAUCGCUAUCAGAAAGUUGUAUUAGCUCAUUGGAAAGACCAUGGAAAACCUGCACUAGAUGCUGUCGUUGUUAAGGUUUGCGAGAAAGGUGGUCAGGCAAAGAAUUGGGCGGCACCCUACAUCAAAAUGGUCAAGAUUAAAUGGAUUCCUGCUAUCAAAGAGCAGUGGGCGCUGCUUGCAGCAAAUGCUGAACCCUACGUGCAAACUUUGUCAACUAAAACUACUAAAGUUUAUCAUGUGUCUAAGAAUACUGCAUCCACAUAUGCAGUCAAAGCACAUAAACUUUUGGAUCCUUAUUUGAAGGAAGCCAGGAAGGUUUCAAGACCUUACAUCAAUCAUGUUGCUACUAUCACCAAACCAUAUGUUGAAAAGCUGAAGAUCGCUUUAAGGCCUUACACAAAACGUGUAGUUCGAACUUACAGAAAGUUCCAUAAAUCGACAACUACCUAUCACCGCCAGGCUCAAGCAGGCAUCUAUCGAUAUUUAAAGAAAAAUGACUUGACAAAACGGUUUGCAACCAAAGAGUUGGCUUGGUUUAUGGCUUCUGCAUUGUUCGUCUUGCCUGUUUUCCUUGCAUACCGACUCUUAUGUGAUAUUUUUAUGAUCAAGUCUAGAAAGACAAAAAGGCCAGCACGAAAAGUUGAAGCAGAAGCAAACCACACGAAUCGUAGACCUAAGCGAAGGCAUGCUGACAAGUAAAAAAUUGGUGACGUUUCCAAGUUACACUGCUUGCAUUUAAGGUAAAAGCUUUGAUGUGUUCAUUUGCUGCCUUAUCCAAAUUUUCAGAUGAUUUACAACUCUUAUGCAUGAUAAAAGAUGCUUCUUGUCCUACUUUUGAUGAAGAUCAAAAUGAUUUUUCACGCUUAGCCUUCUGACUCAAUUAUCACAGAUCGAUGAUCGCACCAAUCAAACUUAUAGUGGAAGAUUUGAACAAUUUCACCGAAUUUUUGUAGAAGAGUUUGUGUGCUUCAUUUUCUGAAGUCUGCAUAUUUAUUUACUGGAUUAUGUGUUCUAAGGUUGUUUAUGAUUGACCCUUGCAAUUCUCUGCGUUCUAUCAACUAUAGUAAUUGAUUUCAUUUGGUGAGUUGUUUUUUUUAGUUACACAAACAGUUGUUCAUGUAAUAUAUAAUUAUAUAAAGAUCUAUCUCAUAGUUUUCCCCUGGAUCUUGUAACCUGGGACGGACAUAUAAAUAAA